rnacentral:rRNA from 1 species
AAUAGAUACCCCGGUAGUCCACGCCGUAAACGAUGUCGACUUGGAGGUUGUGCCCUUGAGGCGUGGCUUCCGGAGCUAACGCGUUAAGUCGACCGCCUGGGGAGUACGGCCGCGAAGGUUAAAACUCAAAUGAAUUGACGGGGGCCCGCACAAGCGGUGGAGCAUGUGGUUUUAAUUCGAUGCAACGCGAAGAACCUUACCUACUCUUGACAUCCAGAGAACUUAGCAGAGAUGCUUUGGUGCCUUCGGGAACUCUGAGACAGGUGCUGCAUGGCGUGUCGUCAGCUCGUGUUGUGAAUGUUGGUUAGUCCGCACGAGCGCAACCUUACUUCUUUGUUG